rnacentral:piRNA from 2 species
GGAAAGCUGAUUCACCUGACAUGCUA